UCCAGUGUAUCCACAGGAAAGUCAAACCUGGAUGCUGAGUAGCUGGGAAGAGAAGAUGGAUUGGAAAUGAGUUGUGCUCCAAGCAAGAAGACAAGAGUUCCAAGAAGACAAGGAGACCUCUGAACUUUCUAAAUGAGGACUUCAAACUUUCUGGUCUGAAUAGGAAGCUGUUUGGGAAGAUUAUCUAUCAACCACCAACACAGAGGAACUGAACCCCAAGCUAAGAGUUAAAAGGCACCCAGACGUAUUGUGUUCUCUGAAUCUUAGCUUUACAGAAAAAG